rnacentral:lncRNA from 1 species
CAACCACAGGUAGACCUCAUCCGGACUCCUAUGGGAGCCGGACUUCAUCCCGACUUCAACUGCAGGUAGACUUCAUCCGGACUCCUACGGGAGCCGGACUUCAUCCCCGACAUCAACUGUAGGUAGACUUCAUCCGGACUCCUACGGGAGCCAGACUCCGUCCCUGACUCCAACUGCAGGUAGACUUCAUCUGGACUCCUACGGGAGCCGGACUUCAUCCCGACUUCAAUUGCAGUUAGACUUCAUCCGGACUCCUACGGGAGCUGGACUUCGUCCCCGACUUCAACCGCAGGUAGA